AUUGAUAACCUGCCUUUGAGAUGGGAAUAACUGCGUUUCGAGCAAUCGGAACUACCGAAAGGGCUGCUAAUACCCAAUAAUACUAUAGGUGCAAAAGCACUUGUGGUCAAAUGCUAGGAAUUCUGUUCCUUGUGCUUAAAGAGGGGUUAAUGUCCUAUCAGCUAGUUGGUGGGGUAAUGGCCUACCAAGGCAAAGACGGGUAGCCGGCUUGAGAGGGUGGUCGGCCACACUGGGACUGAGACACUGCCCAGACUCCUACGGGAGGCUGCAGUCGAGAAUCUUUCGCAAUGCCCGAAAGGGUGACGAAGCGACGCCGCGUGUGGGAAGAAGGCCUUCGGGUUGUAAACCACUGUCGGGAGUUAGGAAAUGCAGGUGCGUUAAUAGCGCACUUGCUUGACUAAGGCUCCAGAGGAAGCCACGGCUAACUCUGUGCCAGCAGCCGCGGUAAUACAGAGGCGGCAAGCGUUGUUCGGAAUUAUUGGGCGUAAAGAGCACGUAGGCGGCCUUGCAAGUCAGUUGUGAAAGCCUUCCGCUUAACGGAAGAACGGCAUCUGAUACUACAGGGCUUGAGUACGGG
rnacentral:rRNA from 1 species